AUCCAUCUGACGAGUCCCAAAUAGGAUGAGACGCGCUUUCUGGAU
rfam:Schistosoma haematobium scaffold773_26, whole genome shotgun sequence.